GAACGCGUCUUCGGCAGCGCCGGGGCAUUCUGAAUAAAGUCUGGUGUGGCGAUUGGUCCGAUUUUCUCUCUUACUAAGAAGAGGACACAGAAAAGGCAUCAUGAUGGAACCAAACUUUCAGCAAGGACACAAACAGGAUAUUUUUUAAAGUACAUUUGAUCUUGAGUAUUGCUGUUCAUGGUGAAAAGAUUAUUAAAAAACAUUCUAGUAAAAAAAAGCUAUUUUUUUAACCUAUACAUCAGUGUCCAAAUGCCUAUCUGUGUUUAUUUGUAUGAUACGUCUUGCUUAGAUUCAUGAAAUCUAAAAUAUAAUGUACAUUUAGUCGGUGCUCGCUGUUGGCUGCAAAACUAAGUAAUAUAAAUAUAUCCAGCAGUAUUAAUUGAAUAUCAGAUAUCAUGAAUUGGGUAUUAUAUAUCACAUAUAGUUUGCUGCAUAUUGCUAGUCUAAUAUAUAGCAUCGUAUAUGAUGUGGCAAAUAUUGUAUAUUCAAUAUUUUAUGUAAUUUAUUCCAUGUUGCGCUUGAUUUAUCGUACAUUGUCCAUGGUAUAUAGCCUGUUGCAUGUCAUAUGUUGUGUAUCAAACAUCAUAUUUCGAACAUCGUGUGUUAUAUUUUGUAUCUCUAAAGCAAUCUGUCUAAAACUGGUCCAUGGGCAGUUUUAUUAAGAUGCAGUUUCCACUGCAUCUUAACACCUAAAAUAAAACUAUUUAUGUUGACUA